rnacentral:rRNA from 1 species
UUUACCGUGAAAAAAUUAGAGUGUUCAAAGCAGGCAGAUCCAAUUUUCUGCCACCGAAUACAUUAGCAUGGGAUAAUGGAAUAGGACCCUGUCCUCCUAUUUUCAGUUGGUUUGCCGCGAGGACCAGGGUAAUGAUUAAUAGGGAUAGUUGGGGGCAUUAAUAUUUAAUUGUCAGAGGUGAAAUUCUUGGAUUUAUGAAAGAUUAACUUCUGCGAAAGCAUCUGCCAAGGAUGUUUUCAUUAAUCAAGAACGAAAGUUAGGGGAUCGAAGACGAUCAGAUACCGUCGUAGUCUUAACCAUAAACGAUGCCGACCAGCGAUUAGGAGACGUUGAAUACAAAACACCACCAUGCGCAUUGCGGUCGUCUUUGGUGUCGCUCACAAGGCGGCACCGGGGCGGCUUAGCUCGCAUGGCACCGGUGAAUGACUCCCUAGCA